rnacentral:rRNA from 1 species
UACGUAGGGGGCAAGCGUUGUUCGGAUUCAUUGGGCGUAAAGGGCGCGUAGGCUGCGGGGCAAGUCGGGUGUGAAAUCUCAGAGCUCAACUCUGAAACUGCACUCGAUACUGCUUUGCUUGAGGACUGGAGAGGAGACUGGAAUUCAUGGUGUAGCAGUGAAAUGCGUAGAGAUCAUGAGGAAGACCAGUGGCGAAGGCGGGUCUCUGGACAGUUCCUGACACUGAGACACGAAGGCCAGGGGAGCAAACGGG